UUCCUACGGGGGGCAGCAGUGAGGAAUAUUGGUCAAUGGGCGGAAGCCUGAACCAGCCAAGUCGCGUGAGGGAAUAAGGCCCUACGGGUCGUAAGCCUCUUUUGCCGGGGAGCAAGGGCCGGGACGAGUCCCGGUCCGGAGAGUACCCGGAGAAAAAGCAUCGGCUAACUCCGUGCCAGCAGCCGCGGUAAUACGGAGGAUGCGAGCGUUGUCCGGAUUUAUUGGGUUUAAAGGGUGCGUAGGCGGGCUUUUAAGUCAGCGGUAAAAGCCCGGGGCUCAACCCCGGCGAGCCGUUGAAACUGGCU
rnacentral:rRNA from 1 species